ensembl:snRNA U6 U6 spliceosomal RNA
GACCUUGUUUCAGCAGUUCAUAUACUGAAAUUGGAAUGAUACAGGGAAGAUUAGCAUGGCCCCUGAGCAAGGCUUACACACAAAUUCAUGAUGUAUUCCAUCUUUUU